rnacentral:rRNA from 1 species
GUGGGGAAUAUUGGACAAUGGGCGAAAGCCUGAUCCAGCCAUGCCGCGUGUGUGAAGAAGGUCUUCGGAUUGUAAAGCACUUUAAGUUGGGAGGAAGGGCAGUAAGUUAAUACCUUGCUGUUUUGACGUUACCGACAGAAUAAGCACCGGCUAACUUCGUGCCAGCAGCCGCGGUAAUACGAAGGGUGCAAGCGUUAAUCGGAAUUACUGGGCGUAAAGCGCGCGUAGGUGGUUUUGUAAGUUGGAGGUGAAAUCCCCGGGCUCAACCUGGGAACUGCCUCCAAAACUGCAUGACUAGAGUACGGUAGAGGGUAGUGGAAUUGCCUGUGUAGCGGUGAAAUGCGUAGAUAUAGGAAGGAACACCAGUGGCGAAGGCGACUACCUGGACUGAUACUGACACUGAGGUGCGAAAGCGUGGGGAGCAAACAGGAUUAGAAACCCCGGUAGUCC